rnacentral:rRNA from 1 species
GAGUUUGAUCUUGGCUCAGAUUGAACGCUGGCGGCAUGCCUUACACAUGCAAGUCGAACGGCAGCAUGAUCUAGCUUGCUAGAUUGAUGGCGAGUGGCGAACGGGUGAGUAAUACAUCGGAACGUGCCCUGUAGUGGGGGAUAACUAGUCGAAAGAUUAGCUAAUACCGCAUACGACCUGAGGGUGAAAGUGGGGGACCGCAAGGCCUCAUGCUAUAGGAGCGGCCGAUGUCUGAUUAGCUAGUUGGUGGGGUAAAGGCCCACCAAGGCGACGAUCAGUAGCUGGUCUGAGAGGACGAUCAGCCACACUGGGACUGAGACACGGCCCAGACUCCUACGGGAGGCAGCAGUGGGGAAUUUGGACAAUGGGCGAAAGCCUGAUCCAGCAAUGCCGCGUGUGUGAAGAAGGCCUGGU